rnacentral:misc_RNA from 1 species
AGUCAAUGCCCAUAUCGAUUACAAGGUACUAAUAUUUGACAUAGAGUAAUUGUUGACAAUGUCAUUGACAAUUUUUAUUUUAGCAGCAACAGGUUCAUCGAUCAGUUGUCAUGAGUUACCACUGUGUUCAAUUGAAACAUUAGCAGUCUAGUUGUCGAUUGGAUGUGAUAUAAGUCAAGCGGACAUUUGCUUGAAAUAAAUAUUGUCAAAUCAAUAUUUAAUUUCAUGUUUUUUUUUGAUAAUUUUUCAUAUUUUUAAUUAAUACAAACAAGUGUGAUAAAGUUUUGUUUUAUUUUAGUAAAAUUUCAAGUAUAUAUUUGAAUAAUUCUAGUGAUUAAAAUGUCAAUUGAACCUUGUGAAAUUGUAAUUGACGAAGCAAGUCAAACUGAUAAUGAAGAUAAUACAGAUUCUUUUCAUUUUCCACCAAGAAGUCGUAGAGUAAUAGACAAUGCUUCAUCAGCUAUUCAACAAAGUCCAGUGUUUAUUAAUCAAACAACAACUAGAAAAAAAUCACACAAAAAUUAUUUGAACAAUGUUCAUGAUUUUCAUUCAGCUAUGGGACCCAUUAUUACAAUUGGACAAUAUUUUGGAGUUUUUGCAAUUGACGGUAUUAAAAAUCCAACUCCAGAAACAAUGACAUUUAAAAUUAAAUCAUUUAGAACAAUAUAUUCAUGUGGAGUGUCUUUGAAUAUUUUAAUUUUAUUAUAUUGCAUUGUGUUUCACAUUAUCAGAGAAUCUAUAAAUAAAAAUAAAGAAGUAUCAUCUUCUCUGAUUCCAUUUGGUAUAUUUAUUGGAUUAUCAUUUUUGAUAAAUGUUAUAUGUAUUUGCCGUUCACAAAUGUGGAUUGAUCUUCAGAUGAAGUGGAAAAAAGUGGAAGAGACGCUGGACAUGUUCUACUUACAUACUCCACAAUUACGUAUAAAAUUCCAGAUAUUUUUUUCUCUUGCUGAAAUAUUUAAACUCGGAGCUCAUGUCAUGGCUGUAGUAUUUAGUGCUAAAAAUGCAAAUGGAGUAAUUGAACAAAUUCAAUUAAGAGGAAAGUUUUUGGUUGAUGCUUUUUAUGGAAGCAAUGAUAUUUCUUUUGACAGUUGGCUUGGCAUCCUAGGAAUUUAUUUUCUAAUUAUUCUCGUCUUUGCCAGUUUCAUUAGAAUGUUUACAGAUCUUUUUAUUAUUUUUCUGGCGAUUGGACUUACUGAAAGAUACAAAGCUAUGAAUGAACAUGUUUCUGAUUUGAUUAAAUCAAAUUGUCAACCAAUCAAUUGGUCUCGACUCAAAAUACAUUAUGAAAUGUUGAGUGAUCUUGUCAGAGAAACAGAUCGUGUUAUUUCACCGCUCAUUUUUUUAUCCAUUGGUAGUAAUAUUUAUUUCAUCUGUAUUUACCUUUUGGAUGGACUAAUUCCACAACAUGAUGGCAUAUUGAAUGCAAUAUAUUUUUUUGGAGGAUUUGUAUUAUUAGUUAUCAAAACAAUUGCAGUUAUUCUAUUUGCAGCCAGAAUCAAUGACGAGAGUAAAAAACCAAUAUUAUUUCUUUCAAAAUGUCCAGUACAAGGUCCCUCAUUUGAACCUCAGUGGUUACAACUCCAAUUAUCAAUUGACGAAGUUGCACUCACAGCAAUGAAUUGUUUUUCCAUCACUCGAAAAUUCCUGAUAACGGUCACCACAACUGUUAUUUCGUAUGAGAUCGUAUUGUUGCAGUUCCAAAAAUCAAUGAAUUAAGUGAAAUAUUUAACCCUAGUAAAAAUCAGUCUUAAGUGCAAGUGAUAGCAUAUAAAAUUAUCACAGUAAAUCGUAUUAUGACUUGAUUUUACUGGGCUAUGAAAAUAUCAACAAUGCUCAUAGUUUUCAUUCAGCUAUCGGGCCCAUUAUUACAAUUGGACAGUAUUUUGGAAUUUUUGCAAUGGACGGUGUCAACAAUCCAAUUCCAGAAAUGAUGACCUUCAAAAUGAAAUCCUGGAGGACAAUUUAUUCAUGUGUAGUAUCGUUGAAUAUUUUAAUUGUACUAUAUUGCGUUGUGUUUCACAUUAUCGAUCAAAAAAAAGAAAUAAAGUUAUGUACGUUAUUACCAUUUGCUAUUUACAUGGGCUUAACAAUUUUGAUAAAUGUUGUAUGUAUCUUUCGUUCACAAAUGUGGAUCAAUCUCCAGAUAAAGUGGAAAAAAGUGGAAGAGUCGCUGGACAUGUUUUAUUUACAAUCACCGCGCCUUUAUUUCAAAUUCAAAAUAAUUUUCGCUGUCACUGAAUUUCUAGAUGUCGGAAAUCAUAUCACAAGUGUCAUAUUCAGAGCUGACAAUGAAAAUGGAGUAACAAAUUAUUUAAAAUCAAGAGGAAAAUUUCUAACUGAAGCUUUUUUAGGAAGCAAUACCCUUUUUUUAGUUAUUGGCUUGGCAUCCUGGGAAUUUAUGUCCUAAUUAUUCCCAUCAUUGCUGCUUUCAUUAAAAGCUUUACAAACGUUAUUAUUAUUUUU